rnacentral:snoRNA from 1 species
GGCAGCCUCGUCAAAUUCAGUACUGCCCAUUCGGUGGCAAGUACUGGCCCAAAUGGCUGCGACAUCAAACCUGUGGGUCAUGGGCCUCGAUUUCCUCACCGUGGAGACCGGGGAUAAGUUGAUCCCACAGACAUAU